UGCCAUCGAACUCCGCAAAAAGCCCCUUCAAUAGUUUCCCUGGCUCUAUCCGUUGCUUCAUAUGUAUAGCACCUUGGUGGUUUUAUUUCCCAUCCACCAAACGAAGCACAUUGAUCAAAGGACCACAAACUUUAAGUGCUCAGAUAACGUCAUUCAAAAAGUGUGCAGAAAUAAUAUGGUUGGCUUCUUUUCCCAAAAU
rnacentral:lncRNA from 1 species